rnacentral:tRNA from 1 species
CAUUACAAAUGCGAUGCUCUACCCUCUGSGCUAAGUGGGC